GACAGAGGGUGCAAACAUUGUUCGGAAUUACUGAGCGUAAAGCGCGUGUAGGCGGCUAAGUAAGUCGGGCGUGAAAUCCCACGGCUCAACCGUGGAAGUGCACUCGAAACUGCAUAGCUAGAGUCCUGGAGAGGAAGGUGGAAUGCUUGGUGUAGAGGUGAAAUUCGUAGAUAUCAAGCGGAACACCGGUGGCGAAGGCGGCCUUCUGGACAGUGACUGACGCUGAGACGCGAAAGCGUGGGGAGCAAACAGGG
rnacentral:rRNA from 1 species